rnacentral:lncRNA from 1 species
UGCAAAUCUGGAGCUGCCAGUGGCUCUCUUGGCUGUUAAGGGAGAAAGCCUGGCUAAGAAUGAAGACAACAUUGUGGAAACAGGGAUAAAGGACAGAAAAAAUAGGACAGUUUCUUGUGAUCACUAGUCGCCCUCCUGAACAGAGCUAAGUUUCAUCCUUUGAAUUUCCCAUAAACCAAUCUUCAUUCUUGUAUUCAAUUUCCAUCAAGUAGCUCAUGGGUUUCAAGAGAAGCUGACAUCCCCUACUCUCCAGACAAAGGUAUCUAACUCACUUGGAUUUUUUUAUGAUUUAAAGAAGAAGCCUAGUUUAUGUAUUUUUCUAUAUGGAAAAUCAUGCAUGGAAUGGUAUGUAUUUCUUCCACUCAUUUAUG